AGCAGCCGCGGUAAUUCCAGCUCCAAUAGCGUAUAUUAAAGUUGUUGCAGUUAAAAAGCUCGUAGUUGAAUUUCGGGAUUAAUAUGUUGGUCGUGCCUCGGUACGUACUGGCAUUAUUGAUUCCUACCUUCUGAAGAACCUCGAUGUCAUUAAUUUGGUGUCUUGGGAAAUCAGGACCGUUACUUUUGAAAAAUUAGAGUGUUUUAAAGCAGGCUCGCGCUUGAAUACAUUAGCAUGGAAUAAUGAAAUAGGACGUUUGAUUCUAUUUUGUUGGUUUCUAGGAUCGACGUAAUGAUUAAUAGGGAUAGUUGGGGGCAUUAGUAUUCAAUUGUCAGAGGUGAAAUUCUUGGAUUUAUUGUAAGACUAACUACUGCGAAAGCAUUUGUCCAAGGAUGUUUUCAUUAAUCAAGAACGAAAGUUAGGGGGAUCGAAGACGAUCAGAUACCGUCGUAGUCUUAACCCAUAAACUAUGACCGACUAGGG
rnacentral:rRNA from 1 species